GACGAACGCUGGCGGCGUGCUUAACACAUGCAAGUCGAACGGAAAGGCCCUGCUUUUGUGGGGUGCUCGAGUGGCGAACGGGUGAGUAACACGUGAGUAACCUGCCCUUGACUUUGGGAUAACUUCAGGAAACUGGGGCUAAUACCGGAUAGGAGCUCCUGCUGCAUGGUGGGGGUUGGAAAGUUUCGGCGGUUGGGGAUGGACUCGCGGCUUAUCAGCUUGUUGGUGGGGUAGUGGCUUACCAAGGCUUUGACGGGUAGCCGGCCUGAGAGGGUGACCGGCCACAUUGGGACUGAGAUACGGCCCAGACUCCUACGGGAGGCAGCAGUGGGGAAUAUUGCACAAUGGGCGGAAGCCUGAUGCAGCAACGCCGCGUGCGGGAUGACGGCCUGCGGGUUGUAAACCGCUUUCGCCUGUGACGAAGCGUUAGUGACGGUAAUGGGUAAAGAAGCACCGGCUAACUACGUG
rnacentral:rRNA from 1 species